UCUCCACACACACCCAAUCAGUAGACAUCUCAUCUCCAUUACAAUGAAUAUUUUUUGUUUGCUACUCAAGAGUGAAGUAAAUACUAUUAUCACUUCAUGUUAUUUUCUUUUUAAAUUAGCUUCAAAUGUCCUAUUGUUAAACACUAUUCAUACCUUCUAAUAUUUUUUCGUCUUCCUUUAACCUAGCUAUAACUUAUUCAUUCUCCAUCCAUCAUUUUUGUAGAUCCAAGAUAUUUGAAACGUGUUACUAUUGCUAAUAUUUAAUAGAAAUAGACACCCAUUUCUACCUACCACAUUUAGAUCGACAAAUACAAUAAAAUAUUACAAUUUUAAUUAAGAUUUAGUUAAGAUAAAACUCUGAUGUGUAUUUGCAGGAGGAGAACAGCAUGUGGUGGAAGUGAAAGUGGUGGCUUCACCACAACACUAUCUGGGCUGGGACUGGGAGGCUCGCAUGGUGGAAACGUGGGUGAAGUAUCGUGUGGAUGGAGUGUGUGGCUCAGGGAUCUGCGAAUGGAAUUACCGACACUCUGGGGGCCGGCCAAAGGAACUCAGUAUUCAAGACCCUGAGUGGGCAGUCAAGUACCGACCUAAAUACCUAUUGGCCUGAUUAAUCAUAGUCCCUCUGUAAAUGACAGUCCAUGACAGCCUCAGGUGAAAGGAAAACAUUGUGUGGUAAUAUAUUGGAGGAGUGUAUUUAAGAAGUAUGUUGUAACCUGGAGAGCUGAAGUCAAUAUACCUUUUAACUCUUCUUCGCUCAUCUUCAUGUUGUUGUCUGCAAUUAUGAUGACUUUUACGCUAUUUUUUUUAUCACGGGCUAGCCUUUUUUAAUAGUGUUUCAACUAAAUGUUACAUAUGAUGGGAUAGUUUUUCAUAAUCUCAAGAAAGGUGAAUAUUUAAUUUAAUUUCAGUCUGGUUAGUUUUGGUGCUAACACAAAAAGAAAAGUAGACAAAUCAUCCAACAGCAAAGCACAUAUACCCUCACACACUAUAGUCGUCAUCUGAAUUAGUGACCUAUUUGCUAUUGAAACGCCAGAUGCGAGCAGAAAAUUCGAACAUGUUUAACUUUAUCGUAGCUUCAAGCAAACUCUACGAAUUCCCUUUAAUCACUAACGAAUAAAAGACUUUUACCAACAAAUUCGCUAGCGAAUCAAGAUGCUUGUCCAAAACAAAUAAAAGCAGCACCAUGUAAAAAAGCCUCUAAACUCAUUCAACUUUACAGAUCGCGUCUAACGUACGACGAUGGCAGGUUUGAGGGUAUAAAUAUGUGCUCUGCCACUGGGUGUAUUGGCCAGUUUUCUUUUCAUGAUGUCACCAAAACUAGCCUAAUUGAAAUGAAAUUAAUUACUCAACCUCCUUGAAAUUAUAGAAAACCUUCCCAUCAUAGAGAACAUAUUGGCUUAUUUUCAUUGAUCUUAUUGUUUUGCACCAUAGCAAUGUAAAACGUACAUAUAAACAGUUUUACAAUAUGAGCAUAUCUUAAGUAAAAUAAUAUCAAAAUCACACAUGCUAUUUAAUUUUACAAAUAUCUUGUAUAUACACGUUUUACCUGAACUUCUGCGUUUGGUACAUAAAAAGCUGAGUAAACACUAUCAUAACACGUUUUUGUUAUAUCAAUUUCCUUUCUCUAUAUUGAUAUAUUUUCAUCAAAUUUAUCGUUUUGGAACACAACAAUGUAAAAUAUCUAAUUAAGCGUAGGUUCCCAAAAGUGUUUUUUUUUUUUCUUAAGUUAAAUAACCAGAAAAUCAAACAUAUUAUUUGAUUUUAUCAAUAUUUUGUAUUUGCACGUUUUCCCUUCACUUCUGCCUUUUCCUGCAGUAAAAAGCUGAAAAUAUAAUUCAAACUUUUUUAUAUAUUAAUUUCGUGUUUCUCUAUUGCCUUAUUUUCAUAAAUCUUAUCGUUUUAUAGCAAAACAAUGUAAAAUGAUUUCAAUAAAUACAAUUUUAGAUUAAGACUGCUUUUUCAUAAAAUAAUUUCAAAACACAACUAUCACGUAGUUUUACAAAUAAAGUGUAUAUAUUGUUUUGCCUGCAUUCCUAUAUUUUUGUACAUAAAUAGGUGGAAAACACUAAAAUAACACUUGUUUGCAAAUCUCAAUUUGUUUUUCUGUAUUGGCUUAUUUCCGUCAAUUUUAUCGUUUGGAAUACAACAAUGUAAAAUUUCUCAAUAAACAUAGUUUUCAAUUAA